GGUUAAGCGACUAAGCGUACACGGUGGAUGCCCUGGCAGUCAGAGGCGAUGAAGGACGUGCUAAUCUGCGAAAAGCGUCGGUAAGGUGAUAUGAACCGUUACAGCCGGCGAUGUCCGAAUGGGGAAACCCAGUGCAAUUCGUUGCACUAUCGUUAACUGAAUACAUAGGUUAACGAGGCGAACCGGGGGAACUGAAACAUCUAAGUACCCCGAGGAAAAGAAAUCAACCGAGAUUCCCCCAGUAGCGGCGAGCGAACGGGGAGCAGCCCAGAGUCUGAAUCAGCUUGUGUGUUAGUGGAACGGUCUGGAAAGUCCGACGGUACAGGGUGAUAGUCCCGUACACCAAAAUGCACAGGCUGUGAACUCGAAGAGUAGGGCGGGACACGUGGUAUCCUGUCUGAAUAUGGGGGGACCAUCCUCCAAGGCUAAAUACUCCUGACUGACCGAUAGUGAACCAGUACCGUGAGGGAAAGGCGAAAAGAACCCCGGCGAGGGGAGUGAAAAAGAACCUGAAACCGUGUACGUACAAGCAGUGGGAGCACCUUCGGGUGUGACUGCGUACCUUUUGUAUAAUGGGUCAGCGACUUAUAUUCUGUAGCAAGGUUAACCGUAUAGGGGAGCCGCAGGGAAACCGAGUCUUAACUGGGCGUUAAGUUGCAGGGUAUAGACCCGAAACCCGGUGAUCUAGCCAUGGGCAGGUUGAAGGUUGGGUAACACUAACUGGAGGACCGAACCGACUAAUGUUGAAAAAUUAGCGGAUGACUUGUGGCUGGGGGUGAAAGGCCAAUCAAACCGGGAGAUAGCUGGUUCUCCCCGAAAGCUAUUUAGGUAGCGCCUCGUGAACUCAUCUUCGGGGGUAGAGCACUGUUUCGGCUAGGGGGUCAUCCCGACUUACCAACCCGAUGCAAACUACGAAUACCGAAGAAUGUUAUCACGGGAGACACACGGCGGGUGCUAACGUCCGUCGUGAAGAGGGAAACAACCCAGACCGCCAGCUAAGGUCCCAAAGUCAUGGUUAAGUGGGAAACGAUGUGGGAAGGCACAGACAGCCAGGAUGUUGGCUUAGAAGCAGCCAUCAUUUAAAGAAAGCGUAAUAGCUCACUGGUCGAGUCGGCCUGCGCGGAAGAUGUAACGGGGCUAAACCAUGCACCGAAGCUGCGGCAGCGACACUAUGUGUUGUUGGGUAGGGGAGCGUUCUGUAAGCCUGCGAAGGUGUGCUGUGAGGCAUGCUGGAGGUAUCAGAAGUGCGAAUGCUGACAUAAGUAACGAUAAAGCGGGUGAAAAGCCCGCUCGCCGGAAGACCAAGGGUUCCUGUCCAACGUUAAUCGGGGCAGGGUGAGUCGACCCCUAAGGCGAGGCCGAAAGGCGUAGUCGAUGGGAAACAGGUUAAUAUUCCUGUACUUGGUGUUACUGCGAAGGGGGGACGGAGAAGGCUAUGUUAGCCGGGCGACGGUUGUCCCGGUUUAAGCAUGUAGGCUGAUUGUCCAGGCAAAUCCGGAUAAUCAAGGCUGAGGUGUGAUGACGAGGCACUACGGUGCUGAAGUAACAAAUGCCCUGCUUCCAGGAAAAGCCUCUAAGCAUCAGGUAACAUUAAAUCGUACCCCAAACCGACACAGGUGGUCAGGUAGAGAAUACCAAGGCGCUUGAGAGAACUCGGGUGAAGGAACUAGGCAAAAUGGUGCCGUAACUUCGGGAGAAGGCACGCUGGUGUGUAGGUGAAGUCCCUGCGGAUGGAGCUGAGACCAGUCGAAGAUACCAGCUGGCUGCAACUGUUUAUUAAAAACACAGCACUGUGCAAACACGAAAGUGGACGUAUACGGUGUGACGCCUGCCCGGUGCCGGAAGGUUAAUUGAUGGGGUUAUCCGUAAGGAGAAGCUCUUGAUCGAAGCCCCGGUAAACGGCGGCCGUAACUAUAACGGUCCUAAGGUAGCGAAAUUCCUUGUCGGGUAAGUUCCGACCUGCACGAAUGGCGUAAUGAUGGCCAGGCUGUCUCCACCCGAGACUCAGUGAAAUUGAACUCGCUGUGAAGAUGCAGUGUACCCGCGGCAAGACGGAAAGACCCCGUGAACCUUUACUAUAGCUUGACACUGAACAUUGAGCCUUGAUGUGUAGGAUAGGUGGGAGGCUUUGAAGCGUGGACGCCAGUCUGCGUGGAGCCAACCUUGAAAUACCACCCUUUAAUGUUUGAUGUUCUAACGUUGGCCCCUUACCGGGGUUGCGGACAGUGUCUGGUGGGUAGUUUGACUGGGGCGGUCUCCUCCCAAAGCGUAACGGAGGAGCACGAAGGUUAGCUAAUCCUGGUCGGACAUCAGGAGGUUAGUGCAAUGGCAUAAGCUAGCUUGACUGCGAGCGUGACGGCGCGAGCAGGUGCGAAAGCAGGUCAUAGUGAUCCGGUGGUUCUGAAUGGAAGGGCCAUCGCUCAACGGAUAAAAGGUACUCCGGGGAUAACAGGCUGAUACCGCCCAAGAGUUCAUAUCGACGGCGGUGUUUGGCACCUCGAUGUCGGCUCAUCACAUCCUGGGGCUGAAGUAGGUCCCAAGGGUAUGGCUGUUCGCCAUUUAAAGUGGUACGCGAGCUGGGUUUAGAACGUCGUGAGACAGUUCGGUCCCUAUCUGCCGUGGGCGCUGGAGAAUUGAGGGGGGCUGCUCCUAGUACGAGAGGACCGGAGUGGACGCAUCACUGGUGUUCGGGUUGUCAUGCCAAUGGCACUGCCCGGUAGCUAAAUGCGGAAGAGAUAAGUGCUGAAAGCAUCUAAGCACGAAACUUGCCCCGAGAUGAGUUCUCCCUGAGACUUUAAGUCUCCUGAAGGAACGUUAAAGACGAUGACGUUGAUAGGCCGGGUGUGUAAGCGCAGCGAUGCGUUGAGCUAACCGGUACUAAUGAACCGUGAGGCUUAACCUU
rnacentral:rRNA from 1 species